AUAUUCAUAUAAAUAUUUAUUUUCACUAAUAUAUUCAUUUAAUAAUACGUAAAAAUUCUCGGGUAUUACACUAAAAGGAUGACUUCAAUAUGUAAAAAUACAUAAUGUGCAGAAGGCACAAGUCACAUGGUUGUCAAAAUAAGUCCAUCAACAAAUAAUUAUAUGGUGUAAUUAGAUCCAGAGUAAUUCAUUCACUAAUGUUUACUUUACUACACCAAAUAAUGUAAUUGGUUUCAUUGUAUGGAACCAACUCAUGAAUCAAGAAUUCAUAAUGGCUCGAAUUACAGACAAGUUAGAGUAGUGCUACCAUUAACGGUGAAUGUAAAAGAUGUCAAUAUAAUAAAUAGCGAAACUGAAAAAAGAGUAGACCAGAGAAAAGGAAAAAAUAGAAAAUAGUAUUUGAGGCCUCCAUGGAAUAAUGAUUGGCAACUAAACCGCCAAAAAAAUCUACAACCUCAUACGAUUGAGCUUUGUAUUCAGUAUUAACAAAUCAUUGUCAAGCUGCCUUCUUUGACAAGCCAGAAAAGCAUGAGUCCAAGGCAAAAGAGAAAUAAAAUCAAGAAGGAAGAACGGGCGAGUCAGUGUAGAAUCUUGAUACCUCUGUCACUGUGUAACAACGACGAACACAAGGGAAGCUUAGCAAAAAUGGGCGAAAAAGGUAAAAAAAACAUCUAAGAAGUAAAGACCUCUAAUAAAACAAAUGGCAGCAAAGGAUAAGCAUAGCAAACCUGUAGCUUCAUUGUCAUUUUUGUUAAAGCCUGUAAUUUCUCAAAUAAGUCUCUAGAAGCCUUUGAUUGACUGUUAGACAUGUACCCAGAGCAAUUAACUACAAGCUUUAUGAAAUAAUGUCUUAUGAAAUUACUCUACAUUACUGAAUUAAUGCACCAAUACAGUUUUUCAAGAAGAUAAAGAUAGUGGGUUACUUGAAUUUAUAGAAGAGAAACCCACCAAUCAUAACAAAUGAGAAGCACGCUGCAAGAAGCACCACCAAAAACCUGCAUAACCCCAAUUUAAGAUUCAUUCUAUCAAGUAAUAGAUUGACAUUGUCAAGUAGACGCACUUUAGGAGAUCUGUCAAAAGAAAUGUAUGAAACAACAGAUUGGCAGAGUUCAGCAAUACUAAACCUCCCUUGCGUGAUUUUUUAACCUAUUUUAAGUAUACACGUGUUGACCAAAACCCAUUCCUUUCUCUACUACUAAAUUAAGAGCUUCUCAUUUCUGAUGGCUCAAACAUGUUGAUUACACAUAAUUGUAGUUAGUUAUACUGAAUCUAAUAAUAAUUGUUGUUAAUUAGCACCUAUAUAUGACAACUAUUAUAAAUUUGGUUGUGGCUUGAUAGUCAACUAUAUGCAAAUGUAAUAGAAUAUAACAACGUACCCACCAUAACAGCCCCCACCAUCUAGGGCUUGAUUGUAAAAUGUAAACUUUAUUUUGUAUUUUUCUAUAACUGAUAUAACAGCCCUGCAACUGAUGUAACAGCCCCUUAGUUUUGGCCUUUGGGCAUCAUAAUUGCUAAAGAUAUUAUAUAAGGCUAGAGAUCAAGCAUAAAAAGUUAAAAUUAUACACAAUUAAGAGGAAAAAAUUACACCAAGGGGGAAAUUCACUUUACUUACGUGGCAACAUUUUUCUCAAGUUGUAUGUUGAAUAAAUAAAGUAAUCGUGAAAAGUUCCAUCUGAUAUCUUGUAAUGAAGGAAAAGAUACAUCCAACUGAAGAGGUGUGGGCUUAUUCAAGGAAUUAAAUAUACAAGCAAAAGGAAAGCUUGCCGUCACAGAUGUUCGAAUGACAUGAAAGAAUAAGUCUUGGACCAUAUUAAACACUGUAUUGCCGGAAUUUGGUUGUAUCAAUGUGACCAGGAAAUAAGAUGACAGACAGGCUAUCGUGAGUUUAGUUUGUGGACCCAGCACAUGCUGUAAUGCAAAUAUAAAUCAGUUUAAAUAUUUGUGGUUGCAACAAGCAUGAUAUGCGUAUCAACCUAUAACUAAAUGGAUAUGAGCAAAUGUGUCUUACUCUUUUUAUAUAAAAGAAUGACUUGUUAAAAGAGAUUAAGAAAAGGAAGAAGUUACAGUGGAAGAGGACCAGGAGCCCUCUUAAAAGACUAAAUAAGUAAAAGUUAAUUAUAUAGUACAGCGUUCCAAUCCCUCUGGAUAUCAUAAUCUCUAUCACCUUGAUAUGACCCUCUAGUAAAAAAUCAUUACAAAAUAAAGUUAUAUUCUCUCUUUAGAUUAGAAGAAAGGACAAACUUGACACUAAAAGACACUUGGAUUUCUCUCCAAACAAAUACCAAAGAACCUCAAACAAUAACAAAUAUCUUAAAGAUAUUUCCAUCCUUGCCACCACCAAAUCCUCAAACUUGAAAAGAAGAACAUUUUCAAUGCCAGAAGUCAAAUCUUAGAUAUCUCAAAAAUAUCAAACAAAGUAUUCUAGAGAAAAUUUUUAUGACUCUCAUGUUCUUUGGUACCAACUCUUAACAAUUCAUUAAUAGAAGGUUUCUCUACAAAGAAAAAAAUGAGGAAGAGGAAUGGUACUAUUUUUUGCUUAAAACUACAUAAAUAAUCAGGAAGGGAAUGCAGCAAAUUAAAAAGUUGGAUAAAAACUGACCUCUAAAAACCGGACCAUGUGAUUUAUAUAUAAUUCAGAUUGGACGAAUUAAAAAAUAAAGGCUAGAAUACAUUCCAACAAUAUGAAAUAAAUCAAAAAUUAAUAGACAUAUCUCAAUUACUAACUGAAAUUUUUAAAGUAAAAGUUCAUUCUUAUCAAUUUUGUGCUUCAACUCCUACUUAAUUAAAGCACACCUGAGAAUGGUUUUUGAGGUCCAUCUUCAAUAUCUUAUCAUUUAAAUUCUUUGAAAUACUCAAAUUAGUAGCAUAAUCCAGUUUGGCCCUUGUCGUUUGAGAAUUGACUUCCCACUUCCCUGGCAAAUAAUGAACGGAAUCAUCACAAGGGCAAAACAUAGGUCUUAAAAAAAAUAGCAUGGGUGAUGAGUAUGAAAUAUGUUAUAUUUUUAUUCUUUAAUACUUAAUUUUUUAUAUUUAUUUUGUGCCUAAAUACACUCAUUGUUCUUAUAUUUUUAUUUUAGGUAUAAUUGAAAAUUUCCGUGAAUUUGAAAAUAAUUUGAAGACAAAUUGAGUAUUAUUGGAUUAAAGGAGCUAAUAUUCAAGUGGGUCACGAAUUAUUCAAUUGGAGAAAGAAUUCCUAGCAAUCAAAAGCAAUGCACGGAUUCCAAACUAAUAUUAUGGGCAACAUGAGAUCCUAGCCCAAUUAAUGCUCCAACAUAACAAGUACCCAUCCAAUCCUUUUAAAUUAAUAUUACAAAUCAUGUGGGCCACAGUUUGCUUUUGUUUUCAUGCAGCAAACUUGCAAUCCUUACAUUUAUUCACGUGGGCAAUAUAUUCAUGGAUUCUAAUUCUAAUUGGAAGAGGAUCCACUAAGUCACAAAGAAUUUAGCAGCUUCACGCGACAUGGAAAAAUCCGAACGCGGCAUGGAGAGUUGGCACAAGGCAUAUUGUGGAAUUUAAUUCCAAUUUCAAAUCUGAUUUUUGGAUUCUAGAAAAUUAAUUUUUACAAUUCUAUUGUAAUUAGGAUUUCUUUUAGACUAAGAUUUAUUUCCAAGUUGAAUUCUAUUUCUCUAUGGAAAUUAGUGUAAUUUGUAAUUUCUUUAGGAUUUGGAUUUCUACUUCCUAUAGGAUUUAGGACUUUGUCUAGCACUAUAAAUAGAGGAUGAGAGUCGGGGUUUUAUUCAUUCAACAAUCAAUUAUCAUCUAUUAGAGUGCACACUCAAGAGUAUGUCAGGCUAGUUCUUUUCAUUCAGUUCUAAAGGGAGGUAGAACCUUGUUACAAGUAAUUAAUUAAUUGAGUAUUAUUAUUUAUUACUUCUUGUGUGAAAUUUCUUUUGAUAAUCUGUUUUCAUUGAUUGCACGCUAAUUGAUCUAAUUAAUUUAAUAUGGUCAAUUGAGUUAGUUUGGUCGUUAUCAUAUGCUAGAUUAAGAUUGGUAUUACGUGUAAUUGAUAACUAUCUUCGUCACUAGUAGUAACUUGAUAAUAAUAAUUAUGGACAAGCUUUUGUUUAUUGCUAAGAUUAUCAAAAAACAAGUUAAACAAAUCGAGCUUAUGCGUUUGUUACUUGGAUUAGCCUAAUUCUCUAUUUCUUAAUGCUUCUAUCAUAUUAAAUCUAGAGAGCUUAUUAUAGGUUGUAUGCUAGUUAGAAUCUAGUGGAGAGCUUGUUUCAUAUAGUGAUAAUCUAAGGAGAAUUUCGGAUAGCAGAGCUUAUUGUUAUCUAGGGCUAAUAAUUUCAUUGAAGGGAAAAAAAUAAUUAAUUGAUUAAUUGAUUGUUGUACUUGGUGAAACUGAACUGCAGAACUGAAGUUUUUACAUAUUUGGUUAAAUCAUUAAUUCUUGUUCUCUUAGUUUAAAAAUAAUUUUCAAAAACCCCCAUCUUUAUUUUCUAUCAAAAUAAUAGAAUAAAUAUAAAACAAAUUACUCUCUGUGGGAUCGAUCCUUACUUACUAAUAGAACUCUCAGGGAUGGCGAUUCAAAACAACAAUAGAACUCUCAGCGAGUUGGCAACUCCUAAUUUAAAUAAACAACCUCUGUGCAAUGAAUAUCCUAAUUUAGAUGUUGCAUUUGAACUUAAAUCAGGACUAAUCCAUUUACUGCCUACUUUUCGUGGUCUUACAGGUGAGGACCCUUUCAAACAUCUAAAGGAAUUUCAUGUGGUGUGCUCUACUAUGAAACCACAUGGAAUCACCGAAGAGCAAAUCAAGUUGAGAGCAUUCCCAUUCUCCCUAGCAGAUUUGGCAAAGGAUUGGUUGUACUACCUACCCUCAGGUUCAAUACAGUCUUGGAAUGACAUGAAGCAGUUGUUCUUGGAGAGAUACUUUCCAGCCUCAAGAGUAGCCAACAUAAGGAAGGAGAUCUGUUAGAUUAGACAAUUCAGUGGGGAGACACUAUACGAGUAUUGGGAAAGAUUCAAAAAGCUUUAUUCUAGCUGUCCACCGCAUCAAAUAGAUGAACAAUACCUGAUCCAAUAUUUCUACGAAGGGUUGGCACCGAUGGAUAGAAGCAUGAUCGAUGCAGCUAGCGAAGGGGCACUAGUUGACAAGACCCCAAAGGCUGCAAGGAAUUUAAUUGUAAACAUGGUAGCAAACUCGCAACAAUAUGGCACUAGAACAAAUCAUGCACCAGUAAGGGUAAGCGAGGUAAGCACUUGUGAUUAUGGUCAACAAAUUUCUGAAUUAACUGCUAUGGUUAGACAAUUAGCUACAGGUCAACUUCCAGUUGCAAAGGUUUGUGAAAUAUGUUUACAAUCAAAUCACAAUACAGAUCAAUGCCCAACAUUACAAGAUGACGAGGCUGUGCAACAAGCUAAUGCAAUGGGAAAUUAUUAGCCACCUCCUCAGAGAAAGUAUGAUCCGUACUCAAACACGUAUAACCCAGGAUGGAGGGAUCAUCUAAAUCUGAGUUAUGGGAGCAAGCAAGCGGCACCACCUGCAUUUCCACCUAGACAGCAGGGCUUCCAACCAGCCUAACCUCAAUAUCAACCGAAGCAAGCAGUCCCUGCACCUACUGGAACAUCAUUGGAGGAUAUGUUCAAAGCAUUCAUGGGACAAACACAACAAUUCAUGCAAGAGACAAAAACUUCGGUUCAAGAUUUGAGGAACCAAUUAGGACAAUUGGCUACAACUGUGGGGAUAUUGGAAUCCAGAGGCUCAGGAAAAUUACCAUCUCAAACAGUAGUCAACCCAAGGGAGAAUGCAAGUGCCAUAACUUUACGGAAUGGAACACAGUUGGAUACACCACCGACCCCCGUAGAGUUCGAGAAGGAAGCAGCUAAGGAAGAAACAAAAAAAUCCAAGGUGCAACCUAACCCUCCUAAUCAGCUUAAAAACAUUCCUCUUCCCUUUCCUCCCAGAAAUUCUAAAACCUCAAAGAAAGAUGAAAAAAAAAAAGAAAUUUCGAAAACUUUUAGAAAAGUAGAAGUGAACAUCCCUCUUCUUGAUGUAAUUAAACAAGUACCAUGGUAUGCUAAAUUUUUAAAAGAAUUAUGCACUAAUAAAAGAAAAUUGCAAAAUGAUGAAAGAGUCACAGUUGGAGAAAAUGUAUCUGUUGUUCUUCAAAGAAAAAUGCCUCCUAAAUGUAAAGAUCCAGGAAUGUUCACAAUCCCAUGCAAAAUAGGAAACAUCAGAUUUGAAAAAGGCAUGCUAUAUUUAGGAGCUUCAAUUAAUGUUAUGCCUUUAUCUGUUUAUGCCUCCUUAAAUCUAGGCCCUUUGAAAAAUACUGGUGUGAUUAUCCAAUUGGCAGAUCGUACUAACACCUACCCCCGAGGGGUAAUUGAAGAUGUCUUAGUGCAGAUGAACGAACUAAUCUUUCCUGCAGAUUUUUACAUUGUGGAUAUGGAAGAUGAUACAUCACCAAACCCUUCCCACAUCUUGUUAGUAAAACCCUUCCUAAAAACAGCAAGAACUAUGAUUGAUGUGCAUAAUGGGACCUUGACUAUGGAGUUUGAUGAUGAGAAAAUUUAGUUUAACAUCUAUGAUGCCAUGAGGUACCCUACUGAUAUAGGACAGGUUUUUGCUAUCGAUGUGAAAGACUCCUUGGUGCAUAGAGCUUUUGAACAACUACAUAGGGACAGUUUAGAAAUUGCAAUCACCAACAGUUUGGACAUGGACAGGGAAGAAGAGAUUACGCAAACCCAAGAAUUGAAGGAGAAUGUAGCUGCAUUACAUUCAUUGCCAAAAUUCUCAAAUAAGUUAGCAGUACAUUCUAUUUAAUUUCUUGUUUCUCAUCAAAAGUUAUUACCUUCUGUUGUACAAGCCCCAACUCUAGAAUUGAAACAAUUACCUGCUCAUUUGAAAUAUGCAUAUUUGGGGACUAAUGACACUUUGCCUGUAAUUAUUGCUAGUAAUCUAACCAAGGUGCAGGAAGAAAAAUUGCUGAGAGUCCUAAAGCACCAUGUUACAGUUUUUGGAUGGACAAUAGCGGAUAUCAAGGGUAUUAGUCCUGCCAUGUGCAUGCAUCGGAUAUUGUUAGAGGAUGGAGCUAAGCCUACAAGAGAUGCGCAAAGGAGAUUGAAUCCAUCCAUGAUGGAGGUGGUGAAAAAAGAAGUGCUCAAAUUGCUUGAUGUCGGUAUCAUCUAUCCCAUCUCCGAUAGUCAAUGGGUGAGUCCAGUGCAGGUAAUCCCAAAGAAAUCCGGAAUCACCAUUGUCAAGAAUUAUGAUAAUGAGUUGGUGCCCACACGAAUGCAAACAGGGUGGAGAGUAUGUAUAGAUUAUAGAAAAUUGAAUGUUGUAACAAGAAAGGAUCACUUUCCUCUUUCUUUUAUUGAUCAAAUGUUGGAGAGAUUAGUUGGGCACACUUAUUAUUGUUUUCUAGAUGGUUUUUCAGGAUAUAACCAGAUUGUGAUUGCACCCGAGGACCAAGAGAAGACCACAUUCACAUGUCCCUUUGGUACUUUUGCCUAUCGACGGAUGUCUUUUGGACUGUGUAAUGCCCCAAGUACUUUUCAACGAUGCAUGGUAAGCAUUGUUUUCAAAUCUUUUAGAAGAAUGCUUCGAGGUUUUUAUGGAUGAUUUUACAAUUCAUGGUGAUUCUUUGGAUGCAUGCUUAGAUAAUUUAAAUCGUGUUCUAGAUAGAUGCAUGGAAACUAAUCUUGUUUUAAAUUGGGAAAAAUGUCAUUUCAUGGUAGAACAGGGAAUAGUACUUGGACAUGUUAUGUCAUCUAAAGGUCUUGAAGUUGAUAAAGCUAAGAUAAAUGUUAUAUCUGCUUUGCCUUACCCCGUCAGCGUGCGGGAGAUUCGCUCUUUUCUUGGUCAUGCAAGAUUUUAUCGAAUAUUUAUCGAGGACUUCUCGAAGAUUGCAUUACCCUUAUGUAAGUUGCUACAAAAAGAUGUGGACUUUCAGUUUGAUGGUGAAUGCAAGGAGGCUUUUGACACUUUAAAGAAAUUAUUAACUUCUGCCCCUGUCAUUCAACUGCCAAAUUAGAAGUUGUCAUUUGAGAUCAUGUGUGACGCAAGCAACUAUGCAGUGGGGGCUGUUUUGGGACAAAGGAUUGACAAAGCCGUUCAUGCCAUCUACUAUGCUUCGAGGACUUUGAAUGAGGCUCAGAUAAACUAUUCCACAACUAAAAAAGAACUUUUAUCUGUGGUUUUUGCUUUAGAUAAAUUUCAAUCAUAUUUGCUUGGUACUAAAAUUAUAGUUUAUUCUGACCAUGCUGCUCUCAGGUAUUUGCUCACCAAGAAAGAUUCUAAAUCAAGGAUUAUUCGAUAGAUUCUGCUCUUACAAGAAUUUGACUUAGAGAUCAAGGAUAAAAAAGGUGCGGACAACUUAGUAGCAGAUCACUUGAGUAGGUUAUUGAGAGACGAGGAAGAGCUACCGUUACAUGAUUCUUUCCCGGAUGAGCAGUUACUUUCCAUCCAUGCUGAGAUUCCCUGGUAUGCAGAUAUGGUGAAUUAUUUGGUAAGUGCAUAUUUUCCUAAAGAAUUUUCCAAAUCCUAAAAGGAAAAGUUAAAAAGUGAUGCUAGACACUAUGUUUGGGAUGAUCCAUACUUGUGGAAAUUUGUGCUGACCAGAUAGUUAGACGAUGUGUGCCUAACAGUGAAUUUCAAUCUAUUCUUUCCUUUUGUCAUUCUUAUGCUUGUGGAGGACAUUUUGGUCCAAAAAGAACUGCUAAUAAAGUUUUGGAAAGUGGUUUUUAUUGGCCAUCGCUUUUUAAAGAUUCCUAUUUGUUUUGUAAAACAUGUGUUAAUUGCCAAAGGACGGGGAAUAUUUCUCAACAAAAUCAAAUGCCCCAAACUCCUAUAUUAGUUGUUGAGAUUUUUGAUGUAUGGGGUAUAGAUUUUAUGGGACCUUUUUCCUUCAUCAUUUGGGAAUUUAUUCAUUCUUUUGGCUGUUGAUUAUGUCUCAAAAUGGGUGGAAGUUAAAGCCACUAGGACUGACGAUUCUAAAGUUGUUGCAGAUUUUGUUAGGACUAACAUAUUUGUCAGGUUUGGAACACCACGAGCCAUCAUUAGUGAUCGCGGAACCCACUUUUGCAACAGGGUGUUAGCGGUUUUGUUCACGAAAUACAAUGUUCUGCGCAGAGUAAUGGUCAAGUUGAGGUGUCUAACAGAGAGAUAAAAUCCAUUUUGGAGAAGGUAUUCAACCCGAGCAGAAAGGAUUGGAGUAUGAGAUUAGAUGAUGCACUUUGGGCCUAUAGAACUGCGUAUAAAACAACUAUUGGGAUGUCACCAUACAGGAUUGUGCUUGGAAAACCAUGCCACUUACCUGUUGAGUUGGAGCAUAGGGCUUUUUGGGCAAUCAAGCAGUGCAACAUGAGUUUGGAGGCAGCUGGAGUACACAGGAAAUUACAGUUACAAGAGUUAGAAGAAUUGAGGAAUGAAGCCUAUGAAAGUUCAAAGAUUUUCAAGGAAAAGACCAAAGUUUUUCAUGAUAUGCAGAGCGGAAAACCUUUAUUGUGGGACAGUUUUGCUAUAUCAUUCUCGGAUUAAGUUAUUUCCAGGUAAAUUGAGAUUUAGAUGGGUUGGUCCUUUUGUUAUCACUAAUGUGUUUCCUCAUGGUGCAAUUGAGAUUCAAAGCCCGAGCACAAGCAAGAUCUUUAAGGUGAAUGGACAUAGAUUAAAGCCUUUCUAUGAGGGGCAUCAGGUGGAAAAUAUUGAGAUGGUGGAGCUAGACGAUCCGAUCUAUGAAAGCUGAGAAGAGAGGCAUGACGUUGAGCCAAAGACGUUAAACACGGGCAGCUGCUUGGGAGGCAAUCCAAGAUCUCAGAUUUGAUUUUUCUAUCCCUUCACUUUUUAGUUUUUUUUAUUGUAUGUUAGCUAGUAGUAUUUUCUUCUUCGCAUGAUUUUUUUACAUUGGGGACAGUGUAAGGUUUGAGUGUGGGGGGGGGGGGAGAUUUAGGUUUUAUUUUAUGUAGGAAUAAUAAUCCAAUUUUGAUGGGAAGUUCAAAAAAUUGAAAAAAAUCUGAUUUUUUUUUUUUGAAAACUUGGGUUCCAUGGUUCUAUUUGCCUAUGUGUUCGAAGGUUAAAGUCAAAGAUUGAAAAUUGAUACUAAAAUUCAUAAUCUGGUUGAUGCUUAAUUUGUUAAUGAAUGAUGACAACUAAGCCAUGAUCCAUAGUAAUUGAUUUAAAUUGAAUUUGUGAUACAUGAGUACUUGAAUAUGAGAAGCAUGUUUAUUUGCCUAAGUUAAUUGUGGAGUUGUCUAUGUGCACUGAUUUCAUGACUUAGAACUGUUUAACUUGUUUAUGUUGUUGCAGAACCAUGUGAAAAAAAUGAUGAAUGAAAAAAAAAAGGAAAAAAAUGAAAAUUGAAAAUCUGCUUCAAUGUCCAUUGUGCGAAUAACUGGGUAUCUAAGCCUCGAGAAGCAUCGGUAUUCAUGCUAAAAAGUGUGAUGGAUAAAAGUAGCUUGACUAGUCGACUUUUGUGACCUUUGUUACUUGAAUAAGUAAGCCUUAGGGGUGUCUCUACACCUAGCGCCUUAAGAUCAUCUGGUUUGGGAGUCGUUGGUGGAAAGUUCGCUAAUGGGCAACUCUGAAAGCCUAAGAAAAUGAGACAUUGCACAUGUCAAGAAAAGAAAAAAAAUAAUACGAGAAAAGCAUGAAAAUACAUUCAUCUGUGCUAAAGAGGAUGUUCUAUAGAAAAAAAUUAAAAAGUAAGAAAAAUUUGUUCUUGGUUGUGAGUCAGUGUGCAUGGUUUUUGCUUCAUGGUAACUAAGUUGAGUAAGUAUGUAGAUUUUGGGAAAGUUACUUAUGUGGCUACAAUUUGGUUUAAUGAAAUUCAUUGGUGAAAUAGUAAGGUUUUUCAUUGUGAGUUAACUGAUAAGACAUUGAUUAGAAUUUUGCAAAUUUAGUUUUGAUAAUCAUGAUUUGUAUCUUGAAAUCUUUUGACAUGAUGGUUGAAUAGAAUUUUCUGGAAAUCAAACUUUUGAUUUACACGAGGACAAGUAAAAAGAUAAGUGUGGGGGAAUUUGAUGAGUAUGAAAUAUGUUAUAUUUUUAUUCCUUAAUACUUAAAUCUUUUAUAUUUAUUUUGUGCCUAAAUACACUCAUUGUUCUUAUAUUUUUAUUUUAGGUACAAUUGAAAAAUUCCGUGAAUUUGGAAAUAAUUUGAAGACAAAUUGAGUAUUAUUGGAUUAAAGGAGCUAAUAUUCAAGUGGGCCACGAAUUAUUCAAUUGGAGAAAGAAUUCCUAGCAAUCAAAAGCUAUGCACUGAUUCCAAACUAACAUUAUGGGCAACAUGAGAUCCUAGCCCAAUUAAUGCUCCAACAUAACAAGCACCCAUCCAAUCCUUUUAAAUUAAUAUUACAAAUCAUGUGGGCCACGGCUUGCUUUUGUUUUCAUGCAGCAAACUUGCAAUCCUUACAUUUAUUCAUGUGGGCAAUAUAUUCAUGGAUUCUAAUUCUAAUUGGAAGAGGAUUCACUAAGUCACAAAGAAUUCAGCAGCUUCACGCGACAUGGAAAAAUCCGAACGCAGCAUGGAGAGUUGGCUCACGGCAUAUUGUGGAAUUUAAUUCCAAUUUCAAAUCUAAUUUUUGGAUUCUAGAAAAUUAAUUUUUACAAUUCUAUUGUAAUUAGGAUUUCUUUUAGACUAAGAUUUAUUUCCAAGUUGAAUUCUAUUUCUCUAUAGAAAUUAGUGUAAUUUGUAAUUCCUUUAGGAUUUGGAUUUCUACUUCCUAUAGGAUUUAGGACUUUGUCUAGCACUAUAAAUAGAGGAUGAGAGUCAGGGUUUUAUUCAUUCAACAAUCAACUAUCAUCUAUUAGAAUGCAGACUCAAGAGUAUGUCAGGCUAGUUCUUUUCAUUCAGUUCUAAAGGGAGGUAGAACCUUGUUACAAGUAAUUGAUUAAUUGAGUAUUAUUAUUUAUUCCUUCUUGUGUGAAAUUUCUUUUGAUAAUUUGUUUUCAUUGAUUGCAUGCUAAUUGAUCUAAUUAAUAUAAUAUGGCCAAUUGAGUUAGUUUGAUCGUUAUCAUAUGCUAGAUUAAGAUUGGUAUUACGUGUAAUUGAUAUCUGUCUUCGUUGUCUUCGUCACAAGUAGCAACUUGGUAAUAAUAAUUGUGGACAAGCUUCUGUUUAUUGCUAAGAUUAUCAGAAAACAAGUUUAAAAAAUCGAACUUAUAUGUUUGUUACUUGGAUUAGCCUAAUUCUCUAUUUCUUAAUGCUUCUAUCAUAUUAAAUCUAGAGAGCUUAUUCUAGGUUGUAUGCUAGUUAGAAUCUGGUGGAGAGCUUGUUUCAUACAGUGCUAAUCUAAGGAGAAUUUCGGAUAGCAGAGCUUAUUGUUAUCUAGGGCUAAAAAUUUCAUUGAAGGGAAAAUAAUAAUUACUUGAUUAAUUGAUUGUUGUACUUGGUGAAACUGAACUGCAGAACUGAAGUUUUUACAUAUUUGGUUAAAUCAUUAAUUCUUGUUCUCUUAGUUUAAAAAUAAUUUUCAAAAACCCCCCAUCUUUAUUUUCUAUCAAAAUAAUAGAAUAAAUAUAAAACAAAUUAUUCUAUGUGGGAUCGAUCCUUACUUACCACUGUGCUAAUUGUUUGAAUUUGUAAAGUAAAAGUGAGUUAAUUUAGGAGUGUAAAUGACAGCUCCCAAUGGGUUAGUAUUAACAUCAGCAAAAAAAAGGGAUAAAGGAUAACCACAUGUGGGUCCAAAAUAAUUCUAUCUAACAUAUGUAAACAUUAAAAAAUUGUACAAGUACAAUCAUCUGUAUCAAUUACCAUGGCAUGUAUAUAGUGGAGUAAUAAAAGAAGUAAGUUUAGUAUAAGCUAUGUCACAUAAGGCAAAUAAAACAGAGCAAUCUCCUAGCAGGAUAAUGAUCACUAACCCGGAAACCAAUUUGCAUACAAACUUCAACCAGUGGCAUAUUGGAUUGUUUGAAGAUUGUUCACAAAAAACUGUCAAGUGUGAAAAAAGUUAGGUAACUCAACUAUAAUCCUAAAGGCAAAUGUUUCGGGGGUUAAGUUGGGUUGACCUUAUACAAGAUGCAAAGGUGAAUCCAUCCUUUGCAUAUGAUGGGCAAUUUUCCACCUUAGCUCUUGAAAAAUCACAAAAUAGAAGGUAUAAUGAACUUAUAUUUUGAACCCCUUGAAUUCUAAAAAAACAUUAACCUUUUAUAUAGAAUUUGAUCCCUUGUCUAUGAUGAACUUAAGUCCCUUACCUUUAGUCUUAAAAAAACACAUUCUAAUUUUUUUUUAACUUUAUUGCAACUACCAUUUGACCCCUUGUGUAAUACUAGCUCCACCUGCCGAGAUGGCUUGUCUAGAUCAGUACUAUAAAGGAAGCCCAAACUCUCCUUCCCAUUUUUUCUUCACAAGUGUUUUACAUUUUAUAUUUUAGAAAAGGAACAUAUUUCAAAUAAACUGAAAAUGCUUGCUUUCAGAUCAUAAGACAUUAUUUCAUAAGAAAGAGAAAUAUCAUCAAUUACUGCAUACUGCACAUUAACAAACAUUCAUAAACUUAAUACACUACCAAGCCAUCUUGAGCAACAUAACAUUAAAGAAACACAAAGAACAUGUCAAAAUUUACAAAAAAAGAGGAAAUAAUCUCCUGCACCUGUCUAAAGUCAACUUCAACAACCCACCAGUGAACACUAACAUGUAAUGCUGAGAGGGAAUGAUUUAAAUGGCAAUAAUACCAGCCACACUCAUGGGAUAAUGCUAUCCAAGAGAGCAUUUUUAGCAGGUUAAAAAUUAAACUAGACUAGACUGCAAAACUUUAUCACAAACAGCUUCUCUUUUUUCCUUUUUUUGGGUAUUUAAUACUUACUUUUAAUCUAAAGUUAAAUUAACCUCUACAUCCCACUUACAAAAUAAAAGAAGGAAACAUUCAGCAAAAAGUUUAUUGUAUGAUCUGCCAAAUAAAAUUCUCCCUAUUUACACAACAUUAGAAGAGAUUCCAAGUAAAAACCUAUGUCUUCUAAUACCUAAAAUCUGAACUUGGGGUUUAAGCUAAACAAAUGGCAAAUGUUCCUAGCCAAAAAAAAAAUCAACCACAAAUAGCAAGCAUAUUCAUUGUGACAAAUUACCGGGAUCAUUAAAAUAUAUAGCACAUGUGGGUUUGGUCUCUUAAGUACAUUAUAUUAUCCUCUCCUUGAUAUGCCUAAAAAAAUUAUAGUAAUCUGUACUAGAUAUCUCAAAUUUCAACAGAUUUCAAGUGUGAACAUAAAUGAGCUCAAUCAGGAUACAAAAGAAGAAACAAUUAACAUAUUUCCCUCUUGUAAAUGAACAGAAGAAGGCUGAGAAGACUAAACUACUAAAAACUGCAAAUUUGGUCAAAUACUCAAAUCUCUAUAGCUCAGAAAUCUGAAGAAAAAAGUUACAAACUGAUCUAAAAAUUCUACUAAAAAAAUUUAUCAAAUUACCAGGAAAAUCAGAUUCAACCAAAGCAUUUGUAGGUAGAAAAAACCCCAUAAAAAUAAAAUUAGAAGAUCUUAAAAGAAGAAUGAAUUGUCGGGCCGGGGACUCGGGGAUAGAAGAUGGGGUCAGUUUUGAGCUAGCAAAUCUAUAAUACCUCUACUGUGGUUUCGUCUCUUCGAGAUUGACUGAUGAUGACCGAUGAAGGGCCGCCGAAGGCGAUGAGGGAGGCGAUGCGCCGAUGGCCGUCGGCGACUUGAGAGUUCGAGAUCUGGUUUUGGGAUGAGAGAUUGAGAGUUCGAGAUCUAGGUACUUGGUCUGGGUUUGGGAAUUGAGAGAAUGAGAGUUACGACUUCAGAGUGGGC
rnacentral:lncRNA from 1 species